rnacentral:lncRNA from 1 species
UUGUGAGCCACCAUGUGGUUGCUGGGAUUUGAACUCUGGACCUUCGGAAGAGCAGUCGGGUGCUCUUACCCACUGAGCCAUCUCACCAGCCCUUGUUUCCUCAUUUUAAAAGAAGGCUUUCUGUUCUGUUUCAAAACUAUUAAAGAAAACACAAAUUCAUUUUACCAUGUGUAAAGUCCAGCAAGGGAACGGGACAGGUUCAACCAAUAUAAAAGAAAAUAUAAUCUUGGCAAGAGAGAUGCUCAACUCCAACUCCACUCCACUCCUCAUCUGAAAACUGUCAUUUUGGUGCUCAACGAUGACAGGCCUGCUAAUGACUUUCUGAGCCAAAGCAUCUGCCCCUUUCCUGCCAGCCUCUCUUGACCCUGUGUUCUCUCUCUCUCUCUCUCUCUCUCUCUCUCUCUCUCUCUCUGUGUGUGUGUGUGUGUGUGUGUGUGUUGAUUGAAGUCAGGAGCAGGACACUUUAGUAGGUUGGUGACUUCAGGCACAGCCCUCUACUUCCCCAGAAGUAGAGUGUCUCGGACUGGACUCAGUGGGUCUCUCAACCCGUGGGGGAAUUCAGGGUCCUGGUACUCAGGUGGGCAAAGAGUUGGUGGGAAAAUGACAAACAGACGCAAACACAGAGAGAGUGCUGCAUCUGAAUGUAAUUCUCAAAGCGAGCAUCAGACUUACAUUAUAGAAGAAAACAAAGAAGUUAGGUGACACAUCAGCCAAGGUACAUUGAAGUUAUCUGACACAAAACAGAAAUGCAUACAUAAAGACUAGCAGGAACUAGGCAAUGGUUACAACUGAGAGAAAAGGUGGCCCUUUCUAAAGUCAGCCAUUAGGGAGUCAGUUGAGGGUUUCAAUACCCUAGUCACAAUUUAUACGAUUCCUCUGAGCCUUGUGAAAGCUUGCACCAGGGGGUUCUGCUCUUGCCAACCUUCUCAUGAAUAAUGCAAUACUGUAGUUCCUCCUUAAACCACAAUCCUCCUUCUUCUUGUAAAUUCCUGCAUAUGAGAAUGACUCGGCUCUAAUUCUAAGUUUUCUUUGUAGAAUUGCCCUGAGAUUUCUAGCUCUUACCCAGUAAACUGCAAUGUCUGAUUUCUUUCACUGUCUAUCAACAGUGGAGGCAUUACAUCUGAAUAAGUAGCAUUUCCUAUAACACCAACUAUCACUGAAAGAGUAGUAAACUCAGUGCUCCAAGGUAUGCUAAUCAUAAAACAGAUAGUAACAUUCCUCCACCCACCCACUUCCUGAGUUCAAGGAGUAUUCAUUCAAAGAAAGUCACCCUGACCAUUACCGGAAGCUGCAAUGCAAAUGUGCUAUUGUUAGGGGCUCUUAGAAACUGUCUUGAGAGUUAACAAUUACCAGGUAUUCCUUGUGACACCUGUGACUUUGCACUUCCUUGUGACUCUUAUCUGGUAUUUUUGGUAUUUUCCAACAACGCCCUUCCCACCUCCUUGAGUUGUGGUUUUUUUCCUUUAAAUACCCCCUUACUCAGCUACUCGGGGCGCCACGGUCCUCUACCCCUGCGUGGUGUAUGACCGUGGGCCCGAGAGCACUCUUGAAUAAAAAUCCUCUUGCAAUUUGCAGCAAGACCGUUUCUUGUGGGUGAUUUUGGGGUGUCACCUCUCCUGAGUCAGAACGUGGGGGAGUCCUCACGUUGUGGGUCUUUCAAUCACAAGGACAAAUCUGGAGCAUUUGUGCUACAGGAUACCAAGGCUCCAGGAGAAAAGUUUCUGUGAAUCUUUUUGCCUCCGGACUGCAUCCAAGCUUUUGGGCUUGCCACGCAGACUUCACGGGUGUGGCAAGCGAGUGGAUUCAUGACAUCUCUGGCCCCUCAGUGGGCAGCAGAAUGUACAGAAAGCAUGGAGAUGUGCCUGAGGCAGGACAAAUGCUCAGUGAGUGACGACAGUACUGUGUUCAUUGCCAUGCUUGCUUCUUGUCGAGAGGGUGUGGCAGGGUGGUGCUGAUGUGGAACUUGUGCACAUGACCGUUCUCAGCCUUGUGCUGGGCAGAUGGCACAGCCGUAGAAGCCCUUGCUGUGCUGCCAUGAGGACCAGAGUUCAAAACCCCGAUGCUCACAUAAAAAGCUGGGUGUGGUGGUGUGUACCUGUAAUCCCCAUGCAGGGGAGAAGGAGGUGGGAGGAGCCUGUGGGCUCAUGGACAGUCAGUCUAACCAAUGACUGAAUCCUGGGUUCCAUGAGGGACUGUACCUUAAAAAAGAGUGGAGUCAACCUCCAGCCUCUGCACAUACACACACACACACACACACACACACACACACCCCACACCCCACACACACACACAUCACACACAUCACAUACAUCACAUCACACGGCACACACUACACACACACACACACACACACACACCACACACACCCACACACACCCACACACACACAUCACACACAUCACAUACAUCACAUCACACGGCACACACUACACACACACACACACACACACACACACACACACACACGCCCUUUCCCCAAUUCCCC